CCUACGGGAGGCUGCAGUGGGGAAUAUUGCACAAUGGGCGCAAGCCUGAUGCAGCCAUGCCGCGUGUGUGAAGAAGGCCUUCGGGUUGUAAAGCACUUUCAGCGGGGAGGAAGGCGGUGAGGUUAAUAACCUCAUCGAUUGACGUUACCCGCAGAAGAAGCACCGGCUAACUCCGUGCCAGCGGCCGCGGUAAUACGGAGGGUGCAAGCGUUAAUCGGAAUUACUGGGCGUAAAGCGCACGCAGGCGGUCUGUCAAGUCGGAUGUGAAAUCCCCGGGCUCAACCUGGGAACUGCAUUCGAAACUGGCAGGCUAGAGUCUUGUAGAGGGGGGUAGAAUUCCAGGUGUAGCGGUGAAAUGCGUAGAGAUCUGGAGGAAUACCGGUGGCGAAGGCGGCCCCCUGGACAAAGACUGACGCUCAGGUGCGAAAGCGUGGGGAGCAAACAGGAUUAGAUACCCCAGUAGUC
rnacentral:rRNA from 1 species